AGAAGCAGCCAUCAUUUAAAGAGUGCGUAAUAGCUCACUAGUCGAGUGACACUGCGCCGAAAAUGUACCGGGGCUAAACAUAUUACCGAAGCUGUGGAUUGUCCUUUGGACAAUGGUAGGAGAGCGUUCUAAGGGCGUUGAAGCAUGAUCGCAAGGACAUGUGGAGCGCUUAGAAGUGAGAAUGCCGGUGUGAGUAGCGAAAGACGGGUGAGAAUCCCGUCCACCGAUUGACUAAGGUUUCCAGAGGAAGGCUCGUCCGCUCUGGGUUAGUCGGGUCCUAAGCUGAGGCCGACAGGCGUAGGCGAUGGAUAACAGGUUGAUAUUCCUGUACCACCAUUAUUCGUUUUAAGCGAUGGGGGGACGCAGUAGGAUAGGCGAAGCGUGCUGUUGGAGUGCACGUCCAAGCAGUGAGAUUGAGUGUUAGGCAAAUCCGGCACUCUUAAGAUUGAGCUGUGAUGGGGAGAGGAACUUGUUCCUCGAGUCGUUGAUUUCACACUGCCGAGAAAAGCCUCUAGCUAGAAUAACGGUGCCCGUACCGCAAACCGACACAGGUAGUCAAGAUGAGAAUUCUAAGGUGAGCGAGCGAACUCUCGUUAAGGAACUCGGCAAAAUGACCCCGUAACUUCGGGAGAAGGGGUGCUCUUUGAGGUUCACGCUUCGAAGAGCCGCAGUGAAUAGGCCCAAGCGACUGUUUAUCAAAAACACAGGUCUCUGCUAAACCGUAAGGUGACGUAUAGGGGCUGACGCCUGCCCGGUGCUGGAAGGUUAAGAGGAGUGGUUAGCGCAAGCGAAGCUACGAAUCGAAGCCCCAGUAAACGGCGGCCGUAACUAUAACGGUCCUAAGGUAGCGAAAUUCCUUGUCGGGUAAGUUCCGACCCGCACGAAAGGCGUAACGAUUUGGGCACUGUCUCAACGAGAGACUCGGUGAAAUCAUAGUACCGGUGAAGAUGCCGGUUACCCGCGACAGGACGGAAAGACCCCGUGGAGCUUUACUGUAGCCUGAUAUUGAAAUUCGGUACAGUUUGUACAGGAUAGGUAGGAGCCUUAGAAGCGUGAGCGCUAGCUUACGUGGAGGCAUUGGUGGGAUACUACCCUAAUUGUAUUGGAUUUCUAACCCGCAGCACUUAUCGUGCUGGGAGACAGUGUCAGGCGGGCAGUUUGACUGGGGCGGUCGCCUCCUAAAGAGUAACGGAGGCGCUCAAAGGUUCCCUCAGAAUGGUUGGAAAUCAUUCAUAGAGUGUAAAGGCAUAAGGGAGCUUGACUGCGAGACCUACAAGUCGAGCAGGGUCGAAAGACGGACUUAGUGAUCCGGUGGUUCCGCAUGGAAGGGCCAUCGCUCAACGGAUAAAAGCUACCCCGGGGAUAACAGGCUUAUCUCCCCCAAGAGUUCACAUCGACGGGGAGGUUUGGCACCUCGAUGUCGGCUCAUCGCAUCCUGGGGCUGUAGUCGGUCCCAAGGGUUGGGCUGUUCGCCCAUUAAAGCGGUACGCGAGCUGGGUUCAGAACGUCGUGAGACAGUUCGGUCCCUAUCCGUCGUGGGCGUAGGAAAUUUGAGAGGAGCUGUCCUUAGUACGAGAGGACCGGGAUGGACAUACCUCUGGUGUACCAGUUGUCGUGCCAACGGCAUAGCUGGGUAGCUAUGUAUGGACGGGAUAAGUGCUGAAAGCAUCUAAGCAUGAAGCCCCCCUCGAGAUGAGAUUUCCCAACUUCGGUUAUAAGAUCCCUCAAAGAUGAUGAGGUGAAU
rnacentral:rRNA from 1 species